GGGGUUGUGGCUCAGUGGUACAGCGCUUGCCUAGCAUGCAUGAGGCACUGGGUUCGAACCCCAGCACCA
rnacentral:tRNA from 1 species